AUGGUCUUCAGACUUCACAAGGAUAGUCCUGCUCUUCCCAUUUACUUUUCUCCACUGUGGCUAAGCCAGACCUUCAAAAUAAAUCUAUAUCUUAAUAGAUUAAAGGAAACAUUGCAUGAUUUUUCACUGUUUUCACCUUCUCUGACUGGAGAUUAUAGUUGUCAAAAAUAUUUUAUAUAUUUCAAAUUUUUUAUUAUUAAAAUUCAGCAAAUAGAAAACCUUAAACAUUUUCAAAGUCAGGAAGAAGACAAGAAGGCUAGCUGCCAUCAACUGAACAGAUUAGAAGUCUUGAACAAUAAAAUUAAAGAAAUACACAAAAUAAUGAGGUCAAACAGAUGAAGGCUUCAAAUCAAACUGGAGAAAACUAUUCCUACCUUUGUGGAAUUUUGAGAAAUUGCAAAAAUUAUCCAGGUAACUAUUAAAAAAGAUGCCAAGAUCAGCAGUGCUUUUUGAAGCUUCGUAUUUGAGAACAUGAUGAGUGCCCUACAAAAGAAAACAAGCAAAGAAAUAAUGUGAGAAGUGAGUCCCUCUGUACUUAUUGUUUCAUUCUGAACCUGUAAUAUGUCUCUGAGACUUUUUUCCUCCUGAAUUACUCUACACAAAAGGAAAGAAGGGAUUCAGCAGUGUUACUGCACGAGAAAGGGGAAAGAGAGGAAAAGAUGGUGAGAGAGAGAGAGAGACUGGGAGAAGCAGAGUCCUGAAGAAAGGUAAGAUUGAUUCUGUGUUUUAAAAAGCUUACUUUACUCCUCUGUUCCUUGUCAAAUCCUCAGUGAAGUCUAGAUUGUGUGGAAAUUUAAAAUGGAGGGGCAGUUUAAAGCUGGUUAACUUUUGGAAAGUCCCAGAUGAUAUUGUUUUCACCAAUAUGCAGUAUAUAAUUGCAAUUCAUACUAAAUUACCCUUGUCAAACCAUGAUUUCCAAUUACUAAAGCAUGGUGUAGGAGAGGUAUUGCGUUUUGGGUCCACAUUGGUAUUGGAUGAAAUCCAUGGAUUCAGUCAAAAGAACAAGGGAGCAACUCCAAUCUGUCACUCAGUAAAUUGCCAUUGUUUACUUACUUUCUGAUCAAUAAAAAUUUGAUCACUAAAGAAUUAGAAUAAAUGGUUUUUAGCUGGUGUUCAUGAAAAGAGUGAGUAAUUAAACUGUGCCGUUAAUGAAAGGAAAUCCUAUCUAACAAAGAACAUUUCUUUGCAGAGCUGUAUCAUAUACUUUGGGCCCUCUGCUGGAAAAGUAGAAUCAAGUCUGAAAUAAUGCCUUUUUAAUUGUAUCCUCUAGUAUUACAGAUGUAGGACAGUACUGUAUCAUACCUCUGUGAAUAUAAAAUAUCUUGUACCUGUUCUAUGAUACGUAGUAGUGACUAUGCUUUAUCAGAGCUGUUUUUAAUGAUGUUACUGUAAAUGUUUUCUUUCUAGAUGAUGAUUAAGAAGCUAAUAAAAGAAAUGGUGCCAGGUACCACAACAGUAACAGAAAAAAUAAAAGAAUUAGAAUAAUAUCUGAGGAUUGUUUUCUUGAUGCCCAGUGCAGUGACUGACAAACAGUAUUUUAAAAAACAGAAUGCUGCUUUUCAGAUCAAUGUCAAAUUCUAUCACUGAAAUUUUGUAUUAUUUCAGAAUGUACAAAUACUAGUAUAUUCAAAAGGACAAAAUAUCAGAGGCAAAACUAACCCAGGUGUUCUGAUUUUUGAAUUAAUUUUAUAAUGUGUAAGUAUAAUGUCUGAUCUGAUUCAUUUUUCCUUCUCUGGAAAACAUCAUAUAUAGAUGUUUCAGUAACCACACACACACACACACAAACCAAGCGUGAUUACCAUUGUGCCUUUAUGAAUCUUAGAUUCUCAACUUCCUUAUAAUAAAUUUUUAAGCUUAUCUGCUUAUUCACUUAUUUUGUAAAAAAUGAAUACUCACCCAAAAUAUGUCUGGUUUCAUAUAAUAUUCUGGAGAUAAAGAAAAUCAAAAUGAAUGAAAUAGACAUUUAUGAGGAUUAGAAUAUGGUAGUAGAAACACCAUUUUCUUGGUGUGUAUAUGUUCCUGUACUUCUGAAUCAUCAGCUGCACCCUUCAGCCUGAAAUUCUCAUCAUUCCUUUCCUUACUACCAUGACAUCCUCUGAUCCCCACCAAGCUCACUGGUAAAUCCUAAAGUUCUUAUUCAUGGUUUGAGUCUGCGCUUGAGAUCUACCUGUUCUUUCCUCAAUCAUUUUAAUUAAUGUAUUCCUCUGUGUUCCUGUAGUCUAAUGCAUAAUACUUUUGUUAUAACAGAUGCUACAGUUUGUUAUAUUGCCUUAGGUUUCUGCUUCUUCAUUAGAUAGGUGAACUUCUAGAGAAGAUACCAUCAUCCAAGAGGACAAUAAUUUCAGGCUGGAACCAUUUACUUUAUAUACUGAUAUGUGUUCCACAAGAUCUGGGUCCUGACAAUUAACUAAUUCUCUUAUUAUAUCCCUGAUCUAACAUUUGGACUGAUAUAUUAUAAACUAGUGAGAGUUGGCUCCUUUGAGAGUGGCCAAAGUAUUUCUUUGUAAGAAGGAAUUUUAUUAUUGGCAGGGUCUUGAAAAUUUAUUAACUCUCAGUAGUAUAAUAAUUUUGAAUCUGUUUUCUACUUGGAAAAUUUAAUCAAGAUCACCUUUGUCUAAACAAAAUAUAACUGCAGUUCAUAAUUUUUCUUGGAGCCUCAUGGCAGAUAAUACCUUUUUUCCUAAAUCAGUGUCUGACCCAGAUUCUGCUAUUGAGCUUGAACUCUGCCUAUCCAAAUGUCUGCAGGGUGUCUCUACUUGGAAAUCUUCAUAGGCAGAGAUGUGCUUGACCUGGCUUAUAUUGGCUAAUGAGAGCCUAUUAUGCACAUCUCUUCUUAGUGGAAAUAGGGCAUCAUGGACAUAUGUGCAUCGUGGAAAUCAGCAAAGGAUGCAAACAGGUCAUUUUCUUGAAGAGCAGAUUUAUCAAUACACUCCUGCUAAUAGGUUCUUAAAGUCAACCUAUUCAAUUAGAAUAUUUUUUUCUUCAGAGUUCUCUGCUUUUUUCUUUUCAACCAGGUAUCACCAGUCAGAAUCCUGGUCACUGUCUCUGACAUGUUUGUCUGCCAUGAUCAUAUCCUGUUACCUUCAGACAUGAUUGGUGAAGUGCAGAGAUUGCUACUGUUGUCCCUUCCUCCACUAGAAAUAAGUAGCAGGUGGGGGUGUCCAGUUAUACUACUUUUCCUGGACUCCAUGGUGGUUGGCCUUGGCCACAGUACUUCAUUAUUUGAAAUGGAGUAUAAACAGAUGCAACAUGUGCUGCAUUUCCUCCAGACUUGCUUUCUUCUUCCUAGCUGCUGCAAACUAAAUAUGGGAGCAACCUCAUGUUGACCACAGACAUGAUGACCAAAUCCUAGAACAGGAGAUUUUUAAAACUUCUUCAUUAAAUAGGCCCUUUAUUACCUUUAUUACAGGUUUCAUCUGAUGAAACCUUUGAACCUCUUCUCCAAAUAAUGUUUUCAAAUGUAUAAAACAACAUAUACAGAUAACAAAAAUCAGUCUUGCUGAGGCAUAGUAAUCAACAUUUCAAAUAACCCAGUUUGUCAUGUAGUUAUAUAGCAAUUCUUUAUUACCAAAUGAAAUAACAAAAUUUAGCAAUAUUUACAAUAAUUCUAGAGCAUUGAUAGAUAUGAAUGGUAUUUUGAGAAUCUUUAAUAACUGUGUUGUGAUGUAAAAAUAUCUGUGAUUUCAAAUUGUUGACUCAGACACAGGUAUCGGUAGAACCAUUAUGAUUUAUUGUUACUAUUCAUGGUUGAUGAGAUUGCUAAACUUCUCUUAAAGGCUAGUGAAAAUAAAAAUGUAUUUUUCCCCAUUCAUAUUCAGAGAUGUCCUCAUUCUGUCCGUAGGCUUAUUUGGGGUACAUCAGUCCAAAGUCAUGGCUAGAGGCAGAGGAUGGUAGAGCUUCCAAGAUUCCUGGCUUCCUAGAUGAUCUCAAGAGGCCAAAACUAACUGGACUUAUGUGUAAGAGAAAUGCACACCGAUCUUGUUCUUCGUUUGAAUCAUCACACUUGGAGUAUUUCUCCCUCUCACAGUCAUUUUUCCUGUUUAUAACCACAUAGUAAGUAUCUCUUUAAUUUGUGGACCUUUUUCUGUCAUCACUAUUGCUGCCUGGUACAUGUAUUUCCAAUGUAUUGCUUACAAAUUUCUUUAGUUUAGAAAUGCUUUAUUAUGGCAUAAUUUACAUGCAA
rnacentral:lncRNA from 1 species